UACCACUUCUGGUUUAGGGGUGGAUCUGACGUCCCUGAGUAUAUGUGGUGAACCGGAAUUUGCCUGGGGUUUCCUCAUAUUCAUUCAGGAGUGUCAGUUCUCCCUGCGCACGACGUUGGAGACC
rnacentral:precursor_RNA from 8 species